AAGAAGAUGAGGAGAGGAAAAAGGUUAAGGUGUUCUCAUGUGUGUUCAUAGUUUUUCACAUAUGUGUUCCUCCCUUUUUUGUGGUUCUUUAAAGUUAGUCUUCAACAAAACUGAGAUUUAGAUGUAGAGUAGGUAUGUUGUUUUCUUUUAUUUGGUAGGCGCUGAAAUGAUAUUGUAAUAUCCUUAACUCCUUGCCUUUUAAAAAGACAUUUUAAGUCUUCUCUUUUUUUUUUUGUAACAAUCUUCUCUUAUUUUUGCAUGACUUUACUUUAGUAGCAUGAGGAAACAAUCGAACCAAAGAGAGAUACAAUUCAUUGUCCACCAAAUGCAUAAUUUGAAGGUAGAAUUUCAGAUUUUUUUCAGCCAUUCAUCUAAAUCACUUUUUAGAAAAGAUUAUAGCGUUACAUGUUUUCAAAUGUCUUCUCUAUUUCUCUUCAAAUGCAUGGCUUCCUUCUAUUGAAACAACUCUUAGUUGGGGUAGAUGUGUCUUGUUGCGGGCUGACAUAACCACAAUGUGUGCAUAUGUGUGCUCGCAAAGCCAACAUAGAGACUAUGCUGGCUGUCAAUGUUUAGUUAGUUUUGUUAAUAAUCCUCAUUUAUGUUUUCAUGAUUUCGUCUCCAUUAUUGUUUGUGAACAUUGACGAUAUGAUGAGUUCACCUAUCUUUUAGGUAAUACGUAAUUGCAGAGUAAGGAUUCAAGAUAAUUGAACAAUUUAAUCAAUCUCAGCAGAAACAUUAAGACUAGUUGAACUCUUUGCAUUAAUGAACAUAGCAAAUGCUGAAACGCCUAUUGGUCUUGGAGGUUACUUCUAUACUGAAUCACUUCUUCAUAACCAUAAAGUAAAAAAUCAAUUGUAUGUGUUAAUUAAGCUAAUCUCCUUUUGCUCCACAAUUUUUUUCAGGAUGAUGAUAGACAUU
rnacentral:lncRNA from 1 species